GCCGGGUUACCAUAGCCUGGUAGGGGGCAGGCCUGCUGAGCCUGUGGCCCACGUGGCCUCGCGGGUUCAAAUCCCGCACCCGGCGCCA
rnacentral:tRNA from 1 species